AGGGCGCGGCCCCGCGGGCCUCCCGCGUAAUCCGCGCUCUCUGGGAGGGGGUGGAGUGUCGUCUCUGCGCCGAAACCCCCGCAGGGGGAGUGAGUCGCGGUCACCCCGGGGCUACCACCUGCGAGGGCAGCCGUGGGCGCCUGGCCACCCGUGGUCUCGGGCGGUGGGGACCAAACUCGACGGGGAAAACUGGGAUGAGUUGAUAGGGAGGAGUUUUGUCGCCUUCGCACUAACCUGGACGUAUUAAUCUGAGACGAGGCCUUGGAUGCUGGUAGUUCAUCUGUGAAGGAAUCCAGGACACCAGAAUAAGGAAGUAGAGAAAUGGAACAGGGAACGGUGGAAAGCCAGCGUAAGAAAGAAUAACUACAUGAUCGAGAACAGGUGAUGAAUAUUCUUCCAAAAGAAGCCUUUGCAGAAUAUAUGACCUCUCUUUAAGCUUCUGCCUGGCUAAGACACUACACCAUAUUUUUCUUCACAGAAUAGAUGUACACAUCUCCCUUCCAGAGUAGGUCAUUAACCUACCUUUGGCUUACCCUCGGUAUUUUACUUUUUUCUUCUCCUUAUUUACUAGUAGUUGGAUUUGUAUUUUUAGAUUGCCAGAAAACUGGUGUUUAUAUUCCAUAUGAUAUUGUCUUUAUUAAUAUACUUAUAAACUUAACAGUCAACUUGACUUGCCUCCAGUCAUGUCCUAUAAAUCAUAAUCCUUUGCUCAAAUGUGUAGGACUGUCUAAUUCCAUUAUCUCUGAGCAUUCACUUUAGAAAGUGAAACUGAUGCUCUAUAAUGUGUAAUAUUCCUUCCUACCUACUUAGCUUCUUCUUUUGAAGUUCUCAGGUGGGUGAUGCAUUAAUUUUGGAGCAUUCUAACAUAAACUGUGUAACAGAUAUGUUAUAUAAUAUCACUCCCAGCAUUCUCAAUCUUUCUAUUAUAGUGUUGAAAUCAAUAUUUGACUAACAUUUAUUUAAAAGUUAUGUAAGGCCCUUAAAACAGUUAAAGAGAUAAAAACAUUAACAGUUACUGCAAAUAGCAAUCAAAAUUGCUCUCUAAAAAAGGUUGCAUGAUUAUUUCCAAGGAGAUGUUUAUUGGUAACCAUUAGUAGGUAGUUGCAUCUUUAAAUAAGUGUCAUCUUGUAUUACUGGAGAGUAAAGGAAAUUAUGGGCUUUUCAAACUACUCCAUGUCCCUGUAGGAAUAUAAAAACACAUUCCUAAACAACCAUAGCAUUUCCAUAAGCCAAUAAAAUGAUGACUCAGAAGGUGAAAUACUCUAGACCACAAACCACUUACAUAUGAAUAUUUUAAAAUCAUGUAAAAGUCCUAUUUUAUUUUAUUUUUUUUGUAGUAUGCGGGCCUCCCUCUGUUGUGGCCUCUCCCGUUGCGGAGCACAGGCUCCGGACGCGCAGGCUCAGCAGCCAUGGCUCACGGGCCCAGCCGCUCCGCGGCACGUGGGAUCCUCCCAGACCGGGGCGCGAACCCGGUUCCCCUGCAUCGGCAGGCGGACGCGCAACCACUGCGCCACCAGGGAAGCCCUAAAAGUCCUCUUUUAAAAGCAUUCAUAUAAUCAAGAAAAUAAAUGUAUUGUGCAAAAGUCAUUUAACCCCUGACUCUUCCCUGAAAUGUCUGAAGGCAAUUCAUUGAUUUCAUGAAAUACUGUUCUAGAGGAGAUUUUUAGAUUUCAGACAGAUUUAUUAUAAUGACUUUAAACAUUCUUUGGGGUUCACUUUCUUUGAUGUCUUAAUGCAGAAAAGAAUUAUAUAUAAGGACUUUUUGCUAGUAUGCAUUCUGUUACAUUGCUUGCAGUUCUCUGAUGAGCAAAUCCUAGUGUAUCUCACUUCAGCCAUGUUAGUGGCCACUUAACAAGUCUCUGAAGAUUGUGGCCUGGUCCCCGGUUAUUUCUAUGGUCUAAUAUCUGGUCCAAAUUUUUAUACAUUUGAUUCUGUUAAUUCCAUGGACAGAGGACUUGAGUGAAGAGCAACACCAGAUGAAAAGAAUGGACUAUGUUGUGGUUGAUUCAGUGGACUCAGCAGAAGGUGAUGAAGACACUGAAAUGGCAGCAGAGAUCCUAAAACAGCAAUCUACAGCACUCCAUGUAACUAUCUCUACUGAGUUGUUACUACUCAAUACAAACUGAUGAAUGAUCUUGGUAAUUACUAUAAAACUGUGAUCUUCAAGUAUGAAAAUAUGUAUUGUGGAUGACAAAGAUACACUUAGUUCAUUCUUUUGUAGCCACUGAAAUCUUAAAUAAAAUUAAUUUCUGCACUGAACACGGUACUGAUUUUCAUCCACGGAGGCAGAUAGAUUCACUUUAGAAUAUACAUAUUCUAUGUUUUCUAUAAACCAGGCAAAAACUGGGAAUACAAAGAUCUGGUUUUUGUCCUUGAAGAGUUCACAGUCUAGAGCGAGAGACACACUUUAUAAGACAAAUACUAAUAGAGUUGCAUGGAGCUCCAAAUCAUAUUUCAUACUUCAAACUACAUUUUAUACUUAGUAACCUCAGUAUCUAAAACAGAGAAAAGUUAAUAUUGUGUAAAUUAAUUUUGGGUAAAAUAAUAUUAUCCAACUCUAAAGGCUGUUGUGAGGAUUAACUGUGUUAUUAUAGGUAAAGUGCUCAAAAUAGUGCUUGGCACCUGUUAAAUAUUGGCAAUUAUUUGCACUUGUUGUCAUUAUGGAAACUCCACAUUUCCUUUUGUUCUUCAGUUCCUGUACAGUAGUAGCUACCAUUUAAUGCUUGCCUACUAUAUACCACAUAUCUUACCCCAAGUAAUAUUUUGUUAAUCCUUUCAAUAACUCUCUGAAUUAACUGCUAUAGCUUCUCAUUUAUAAAUGGAAAUUCAACAUUCAGAAAUUAAAUAAUUUUCCCAAUUUCAGCUCUAGUAAGUCCAGAGCUAAAAUUCAGUCUAUAAUUUUCUACUAAACCACACAGCCCCAUGGAUAGAGAUCGUUAAUGAAGAAUUGGUAUUAAACUGCUUAGUUCUCUGAGAGAUUGGCUCUUUCAAUCCACCCUUUGUUCCCUUUUGGAGCAAAGACAGACACUGAGAGAACUAUUAUAACUUAUAGGGAACUGGAAAAAUAUACAAAGUCAAUCCAAUGCAUUUUUUCUAACGUUUCCUCCCUUUUUACAGCUGGCCUGUAGAGAAGAUGGAGUUUGUGGUCCUUGAUGAGGGGAGAAAAAAGUAUUUGAGCAUUAUACUUCCCACAUUCAAUGGUUUGUAGAAAAAUCUAUAUUUCUAGGUCUAUCAUGUCAUAUUCAUACAACAUUAUUAAUAAUCUCAAAUCAUCCCAAAGCAGUGAGCAAUCAGGAGAGAACUGGACGAAUAUGAUCCAUGAGGAACGGGGAUGAAUGAAGCUAUAGUGAAAAGGCAUGCUUUGCUUUAGCAGGACCUACACCUAUGGCCCUGACCAGCCUACUCUUUGCCUGGUUCCUCCUUAUGUCCUUCUCAAAGUAAACUAAGUAAGCAAGGUAACUAAGUGUGCUUAAAUUGGGUUUUUAACAGUGCUCACUGUCUUAUUGAAUGGGCAUCUUGAUUAUUUUCUUUGUUUUAAAACUUAAAUAUGUUGUGUGUGCGUAUGGACAUACUCUUUUUUUUAAAUAAAUGGUUAAAAUUUAUUAGAUGGUUAACUAUGUGCCUGGACUGUUCUAUGCACUUUACACUAUUUCAUUUAAUCCUUAAAACAAUGCUAUGAGUUAGGUAUUAUUAUUAACCCAUUUUCACAGAUGAGGAAACUGAGACCCAAGAUAACAAGGCUGGUAGAAUAUAUGAGAUCAUAAAGCUGGUAAAAAUGAGAAGCCAGACAGCCAAAUGCAGACCUUGAGUUUGUAUGUGUUAUGUUAGACUGCUUUCCAUGUUCCUUAGAAAAUUUGGAAAAUAAUUGAGAAAUAAAUGUCACUCAUAAUUGCAUUUCCAAAAGAUAGCCAUUAGCUAUAUUUUUACAGUUUUGUGCACAUAAAAAUAUUAUGCUAAACGUUUCAUAUUUUCACUUGACAUAUCAUAAUGCACAAUUUAAGAUAUUUUAAAUUGUUUGAACAUUAUGACUUUUUUAUUUUCCACGGUAUAUCAUCAUUUAUUUAACAAUUUCCAUGUUUUUAAAAAUUUA